AGACACAGGGCGACCACAAUAGGUCACAUUGAGCAUGUUGUUGAGAGAAAAAAAAAAUAGCGAUUCCUACUUCAGUCAUAGAAUAGUGAAAAUAGUGACAUAUUAAACAUGUUUUCUUCUUGAUUUCAGUGGCCAAAACAACAUUGUCGCAGUAGUUGGAAGUGUCCUUGGUACACUAUGUUUUUGUUUAGUUCUGGCAUUAAUACUUAUGUUUAUUUUACGUCGAAAGAGGAAGGAAAAAAGUGGGAAGUCAACGGCCAAUAACGAUUACACAAGUCCGGUUACAGAUACAUCGGAAGAACAUCAAUAUAGUACCAUUGACAUGGUACUUGACACACAGACACGACAAAGGAACGACGCGUAUGAAAAUGGAAGAAUCGCGCCCUUUUGACGUUUAUUUUACAUGCAUCCAACAUAGAAGUCUUUAGAAAUUUUGUUUUCAAGUUUCAUUAUGCCUUUUUUCUUGAAACAAAUUUAAUUCAAUUACAUCCAGUGUUGCAGAUUGAAUAUUGCUUCAGUAGAUGCUACGGGAUGUAAGAUAUGUUGUAUCUUUAUUAUUGCUCAUGGACACAAUCAUGCUUUACUUCUGCUUUUCUUGCUCUCUAAUUAAGGGAUCUCCUAACAAUUUUCCAGUUUUUAUACAGUGAAGAUAUUUCAACCGUGUUUUCAAUAAUUCAGGUCUGCAAAUAUAAAUAUGAAAGGAUAUGUUGUUGUUGUUUUUCUUCAACUCGUAAAACAGAUGCGGCUCAUUAAAGAAAAGCAUUUUGACAACAUGGGUGUAG